rnacentral:rRNA from 1 species
CCUACGGGAGGCAGCAGUGAGGAAUAUUGGUCAAUGGGCGUAAGCCUGAACCAGCCAAGUCGCGUGAGGGAUGAAGGUUCUAUGGAUCGUAAACCUCUUUUAUAAGGGAAUAAAGUGUGGGACGUGUCCUGUUUUGUAUGUACCUUAUGAAUAAGGAUCGGCUAAUUCCGUGCCAGCAGCCGCGGUAAUACGGAGGAUCCGAGCGUUAACCGGAUUUAUUGGGUUUAAGGGGGGCGUAGGCGGCCUUUUAAGUCGGCGGUGAAAGUCUGUGGCUCAACCAGAGAAUUGCCGUGGAAACUGGGAGGCUUGAGUAUGUGUGAGGCAGGCGGAAUGCGUGGUGUAGCGGUGAAAUGCUUAGAUAUCACGCAGAACCCCGAUUGCGAAGGCAGCCUGCCAAGCCAUGACUGACGCUGAUGCACGAAAGCGUGGGGAUCAAACAGGAUUAGAUACCCGAGUAGUC